AUUGAACGCUGGCGGCAGGCCUAAUACAUGCAAGUCGAGCGGAGCUGCGGACGGGUGAUUAAUGCCUAGGAAUCUGCCUGGUAGUGGGGGAUAACGUCCGGAAGCGGGCGCUAAUAACGCAUACGAGCAAAUGAGCCUAGGUCGGAUUAGCUAGCUGGUGGGGUAAAGGCCUACCAAGGCGACGAUCCGUCACUGGUCUGAGAGGAUGAUCAGUCACACUGUAACUGAGACACGGUCCAGACUCCUACGGGAGGCAGCAGUGGGGAAUAUUGGACAAUGGGCGAAAGUCUGAUCCAGCCAUGCCGCGUGUGGGAAGAAGGUCUUCGGAUUGUAAAGCACUUUAAGUUGGGAGGCGUUACCAACAGAAUAAGCACCGGCUAACUUCGUGCCAGCAGCCGCGGUAAUAC
rnacentral:rRNA from 1 species